AAACAAAGAAACGUGUGACCUGUUCUUUUCGUGACUCUGUUCGUUUCUCUUUUUUUCUUUUUUCUUUUCCAUCACCACUUUGUCUCUAUCAUCAUCGGCAUCUUUUUCA
rnacentral:ribozyme from 14 species